CAGUCGCCGCGUGAAUACGAAGGGGGCUAGCGUUGUUCGGAAUUACUGGGCGUAAAGCGCACGUAGGCGGCUUUGUAAGUUAGAGGUGAAAGCCUGGAGCUCAACUCCAGAAUUGCCUUUAAGACUGCAUCGCUUGAAUCCGGGAGAGGUGAGUGGAAUUCCGAGUGUAGAGGUGAAAUUCGUAGAUAUUCGGAAGAACACCAGUGGCGAAGGCGGCUCACUGGACCGGCAUUGACGCUGAGGUGCGAAAGCGUGGGGAGCAAACAGGAUUAGAUACCCGCGUAGUCCCUGUCUCUUAUAU
rnacentral:rRNA from 1 species